rnacentral:tRNA from 1 species
AGUAAGAUCAGCUAAAAAAAGCUUUUGGGCCCAUACCCCAAAAAUGUAGGUUAAACCCCUUCUCUUACUA